rnacentral:rRNA from 1 species
GACGAACGCUGGCGGCGUGCUUAACACAUGCAAGUCGAACGGAAAGGCCCUGCUUUUGUGGGGUGCUCGAGUGGCGAACGGGUGAGUAACACGUGAGUAACCUGCCCUUGACUUUGGGAUAACUUCAGGAAACUGGGGCUAAUACCGGAUAGGAGCUCCUGCUGCAUGGUGGGGGUUGGAAAGUUUCGGCGGUUGGGGAUGGACUCGCGGCUUAUCAGCUUGUUGGUGGGGUAGUGGCUUACCAAGGCUUUGACGGGUAGCCGGCCUGAGAGGGUGACCGGCCACAUUGGGACUGGGAUUCGGCCCAGACUCCUACGGGAGGCAGCAGUGGGGAAUAUUGCACAAUGGGCGGAAGCCUGAUGCAGCAACGCCGCGUGCGGGAUGACGGCCUUCGGGUUGUAAACCGCUUUCGCCUGUGACGAAGCGUGAGUGACGGUAAUGGGUAAAGAAGCACCGGCUAACUACGUG